rnacentral:rRNA from 1 species
UCCAGAGAUGGAUUGGUGCCUUCGGAAACUGUGAGACAGGUGCUGCAUGGCUGUCGUCAGCUCGUGUUGUGAAAUGUUGGGUUAAGUCCCGCAACGAGCGCAACCCUUAUCCUUUGUUGCCAGCGGUCCGGCCGGGAACUCAAAGGAGACUGCCAGUGAUAAACUGGAGGAAGGUGGGGAUGACGUCAAGUCAUCAUGGCCCUUACGACCAGGGCUACACACGUGCUACAAUGGCGCAUACAAAGAGAAGCGACCUCGCGAGAGCAAGCGGACCUCAUAAAGUGCGUCGUAGUCCGGAUUGGAGUCUGCAACUCGACUCCAUGAAGUCGGAAUCGCUAGUAAUCGUGGAUCAGAAUGCCACGGUGAAUACGUUCCCGGGCCUUGUACACACCGCCCGUCACACCAUGGGAGUGGGUUGCAAAAGAAGUAGGUAGCUUAACCUUCGGGAGGGCGCUUACCACUUUGUGAUUCAUGACUGGGGUGAAGUCGUAACAAGGUAACCGUAGGGGAAC